GAACUAGUCACAUCAUAAUCGUUUGAAAUUACAGAAAAAUUAUGUAACGUGCGGUAAAAAAGUACGAUAAAAAAAUAUUUAUAUUUUAUUUAUUUUUGUACGUAAUAUUACGUUCCGUAUAUCGCGAUGAAUCGAUUACGAUAUAUUUUCUACGAUAUCACCGGAGAAUGCAGAAAACAUAUCUCUAUAUACUUUAAUCCUAAAUCUAUUUCACCUAAUAGCGUCAGAUGGACAAUACCGAACUAAGUCCUAGUCCAUUUUAAUCCAUAAUUUUUUUAAAAAAAAAUAUUUAAAGUCGAAUUUGAUCCUUUUGACUAAAAUUUAUUUUUUAAUCGAUCGUCCCUAGCGUAAAUAGCAAAGGGCAUGGUGGUUGAUAGCUGCGAUUCUAAGUUUAAAUACUAAUUGAUUCAUAUUUUUAGCUAAAUUUAUUUUUUUGAAAAAUAAAUGAUGCGCUGAAAUUUAUUUUUUAAAAAUAAAUGAUGCAACAAGUUGGGAAGCAAGCACCUUAUAUAUUUAUAUGAUGUGGCUGCUUAUGUUACUUGGGACUUUUUUUGGCUCUGCCAAUGCUUUAAUUUGUAAAAGUAGCUUAAGUUUUAGUUUAGUAUUGAGAUUUAUCUAACGCUAUUAGAUAAAAUAGAGUUGAGGAAAAAAUAUAUAGGAAUAUAUUUAUGCGUUUUUCGGUGGAACCGUAAAAAAUAUAUCGUAACCGACUCAUCGCGAUCUGCGGAACAUAAUAUUACGUACAAAAACAAACAGAAUAUUUUUUUAUUGUACUUUCUCACCGCACGUUCUGCGCAAUCUGAAACGAAGACUUAGUCAAAAUAACUUUUAUAUAUGUAGAGUUAUUU
rnacentral:lncRNA from 1 species